UACAGAGGGGGCAAGCGUUGUUCGGAAUUACUGGGCGUAAAGGCGCGUAGGCGGCCUCUUAAGUCGAACGUGAAAUCCCCGGGCUCAACCCGGGAACUGCGUCCGAUACUGGGAGGCUUGAAUCCGGGAGAGGGAUGUGGAAUUCCAGGUGUAGCGGUGAAAUGCGUAGAUAUCUGGAGGAAUACCGGUGGCGAAGGCGGCAUCCUGGACCGGCAUUGACGCUGAGGAGCGAAAGCUAGGGGAGCAAACGGG
rnacentral:rRNA from 1 species